rnacentral:rRNA from 1 species
UAACACGUGGGUAACCUGCCUUAUAGUGGGGGAUAGCCUUUCGAAAGGAAGAUUAAUACCGCAUAAGAUUGUAGUAUCGCAUGAUAUAGCAAUUAAAGGAGCAAUCCGCUAUAAGAUGGACCCGCGUCGCAUUAGCUAGUUGGUGAGGUAAUGGCUCACCAAGGCGACGAUGCGUAGCCGACCUGAGAGGGUGAUCGGCCACAUUGGGACUGAGACACGGCCCAGACUCCUACGGGAGGCAGCAUG